rnacentral:rRNA from 1 species
AUUGAACGCUGGCGGCAUGCCUUACACAUGCAAGUCGAACGGCAGCGCGGGGCAACCUGGCGGCGAGUGGCGAACGGGUGAGUAAUAUAUCGGAACAUGCCCAGAAGUGGGGGAUAACGUAGCGAAAGUUACGCUAAUACCGCAUACGAUCUACGGAUGAAAGUGGGGGACCGCAAGGCCUCAUGCUUUUGGAGCGGCCGAUAUCUGAUUAGCUAGUUGGUGGGGUAAAGGCCUACCAAGGCGACGAUCAGUAGCUGGUCUGAGAGGACGACCAGCCACACUGGAACUGAGACACGGUCCAGACUCCUACGGGAGGCAGCAGUGGGGAAUUUUGGACAAUGGGGGCAACCCUGAUCCAGCAAUGCCGCGUGUGUGAAGAAGGCCUUCGGGUUGGUUAAAGG